AAUGUGAAGACAUUCUAGGCAGAGGGAACCGCUGGGGCCAGGUCAGACAGCUGUGAAAGGCUGCAUUUUCUGGGAACCCUACAGCUGUCCCGAAGGCUAACAAGGUGUUUUGAGGCAGGUGGAUGAAAUAAGACAAACUGCAGGGGAAUUCCCCACUUUGUGGGGAGGGAAGAGAGAUUUCCCUGAUGAGGUCAGGCUAGGACAUGAGUCGCAUGGGGCAGCCAUUUUGGAAGGAAGACAUUUGUCCACGUGGAAGCUGUAAUUCAAAAUGUGGACUUCAGCAAGAGGAAACACCUAGCUCUCUCUUGAAUCCGGGUUUCAAGAAGCACUCACCAGAUAGCUGCACAUCAGACUGCAGGUGUAUCCUCAAAACUCAGAGCAGAGUCUGGCAUAUGUUGAAUCUGAAGAUGAGGACCUCAAGAAUACAGAGGGCUGACUGCACUGACAAAACUCAGUGGAAACCUCUGGAAGAUUU